rnacentral:rRNA from 1 species
UACGUAGGGUGCGAGCGUUAAUCGGAAUUACUGGGCGUAAAGCGUGCGCAGGCGGUUCGUUAAGACAGAUGUGAAAUCCCCGGGCUUAACCUGGGAACUGCAUUUGUGACUGGCGAGCUAGAGUAUGGCAGAGGGGGGGUAGGAUUCCACGUGUAGCAGUGAAAUGCGUAGAGAUGUGGAGGAAUACCGAUGGCGAAGGCAGCCCCCUGG